ACAGUUGGCUAAACUUAAACUUGCCAACCUUUAAGCUGCUCUGAAGUCACUGGACUACUCAUGUGCCUGGAGGUAAAAAUGACUGCAAAGUGGUUUUAAACAGGUGUCUGAAGCAUGUUUGUAUUUUUUUAAUUGUGAGGAUUUGACUAUCUAGACGCUGCAGCUGGGAUUUCUGACAGACUUUGAGAGUACCUAACAUAUUCAUUACAAGCUGGACACCUAGUUUCUUCAGGCCAGAUUUACAGAGAAAGACUUUUUGGUUUAGUUAUGAGAACAGAGUUCAAAAAUACUCACAAAAUGCACAUGCUUCACGGUUUUUAUACCAACAGAACACAUUCCAGUUUAGUAAAGCAGAAUUAAGCUUUGUACCUUCUCAGAGAAGGAGCCAGCCUUUUGACUCAUUUGACUCAAAAUUAGCUUGGAUGAGAAAACAUCAGCUUGUUUUGAACUGGGCAACUUCUGAGCAGAACUGGUUGAACUGUGUCUUACCAUAUGUCGACAGAAGAGGUUGCUAGCAUUCGUCACCACGACACUGCAGAAGAUUCACAGUGACCUGGUUCAGCAGCUUACCUGUGCACUCCCUAGCUCAUUUCUGUUGAAGUAAGCCAGAUCAGCAGAGGCCUGCUAUUGAAGUUGUCUGAAGCUUCUGACAUGUUUCCAGCAAUUAAGCUGGCAGAGUGGGAAUAGUUCCUGCUCUUGCUUGUUCUCCCCUUGCCCCAGGGGCUGCUAGCCCUGUGGCAGGGAUGGUGGCAGAACUGGUGAGUCAGCUUUGGAAUUGCCACUGGGAACAGCCUAGGAUCUACAUGGACAGCUGUCUUGUGGAGGAAAUUUGUUCCCAGAACACCGCUAGCAAGCUUUGGAAAAGAGAACCCAUAGUGAACUCAGACACAGGAAGAAGCUUUAUUUCUUCAUACAGCAUAAGGUACUCCACGGGGAGCUUCCCAUGCUGUCUACUCUGAGAAGUGGAAAGUUUUGUGCAUAUAUUCAGUUAAUUCCGAAACCUCAGAUGUCAUCUCUUCAGCCCAUUUCCAGAAUUAUUUAUGUGGAACCACAUCCUGCAGCCAUGGUGGAAAUGGA